rnacentral:misc_RNA from 1 species
UACGUAGGGCGCAAGCGUUGUCCGGAUUUAUUGGGCGUAAAGAGCUCGUAGGCGGUUUGUCGCGUCUGCUGUGAAAUCCCGAGGCUCAACCUCGGGCCUGCUGUGGGUACGGGCAGACUAGAGUGCGGCAGAGGAGACUGGAAUUCCUGGUGUAGCGGUGGAACGCGCAGAUAUCAGGAGGAACACCGAUGGCGAAGGCAGGUCUCUGGGCCGCAACUGACGCUGAGGAGCGAAAGCAUGGGGAGCGAACAGG